GACGAACGCUGGCGGCGUGCCUAACACAUGCAAGUCAGGGAUUGAAGGGUAGCAAUACUUUUUCAAGACCGGCGCACGGGUGAGUAACACGUAGGUAAUCUACCCUUAGGCGGGGAACAACCCCGAGAAAUCGGGGCUAAUACCGCAUAAUGCAACGAGACCACAUGAUUUUGUUGUUAAAGAUCCGCAAGGAUCACCAGAGGAUGAACCUGCGUCCGAUUAGCUAGUUGGCGGAGUAAUAGCCCACCAAGGCGACGAUCGGUAGCCGACCUGAGAGGGUGAUCGGCCACACUGGAACUGAGAUACGGUCCAGACUCCUACGGGAGGCAGCAGUGAGGAAUAUUGGUCAAUGGCCGAAAGGCUGAACCAGCAACGCCGCGUGAGGGAUGAAGGUCUAAGGAUUGUAAACCUCUGUUAGGAGGGACGAAUA
rnacentral:rRNA from 1 species